UAAAAAUUAUAUAAAAUUCAUGUCUCGAUAUUUAUUUAUUUAUUCUAUAAUAAGUUACAGAAUUCACUUAAUAUAUAAUAGUACAAAGCAAGGUAAGUGAAUAAUAACCGCGACAAAAACAAACUACUCUCACAAUAGAAACAAACAAUCUAGGAGUUGCAGCCACGGACACAACACGAUAAUUAGUGCAUCUAUUGAUUAAUUUGUCGUAUAUAAGGGAAAUAGACAAACCAAAUUUUAAACAAGUAAUGUUAAAAUAUGGAUAUCCAUUUCUUUUAUUGAUAAUUAACCAUAAAUGCACUAAAUAGAAUAAUAUUUAUUAUGACCUAAGGAUUACUACCAUAUAUAUGCUCAAUGGGAUGAUGUUGCCAUCUAUGGCGCGCAAUAAUCAGUAUCAGUUGUUGGUUCUUGGUACACUACUACUACAACAGACAGGGCGGGGCGGAUACAGCCUGAAAACAAUGGGGUCAAAUUAAGAAUUUUGAAAUUUUUUUUCUUAAGAAUAAAAAUUUAAUAAAAUAAAUCACAAAAUUAAAUAAUUCUCAAAUAUUUUUUACAAUAACAUUUUUUGAAGUUUCGUUAAUUGAAAUUGUUGCAUGAUAGUCUUAUUUUUAAUAGUUAUAAAAAUAUCACAUUUUUUAGUAACUGUAACUCUUCUAUUUUUUACCUUCUUAGUAUUCAGAAGAAGUAAAUUGAUCAAGACAAUAAAAUACUUAAGUUCUUAUAGUAGUAUUUUAUUUUAACAAGAUAUAUAGUAGCAUAUUCUUUUUUCCAGUAACAUAAUAGUAGUGUACUAAUAUAACUGUAGUACUUUACUUAUAAUUUUGUUCCACUAAACUUUAAAAUUUGUGAAUAUAUUAAUAAUUGUAGUGUAUAUAUAUAUAUAUAUAUAUAUAUAUAUAUAUAUAUACCUUGCAUACUCCUAGCGACGGACCGGGUGACGGUCCAGUCCGUCGCUAUAAUAAAGAUCCGUCGCUAUAUAUUGUCCGUCGCUAAAAGCUAAAACAAUGGUUCUUUGAUAUAGCAUUCGGUCCGUCGCUAAAGGGAAUAUGCAAGGUAUGUUGGAUAAAGGGGUAUGCCCUUGAAAUGGACUGUGUGUGUAUAUAUAUAUAUAUAUGUAUAUAUACAGAGAGAACCGAUCAGGUGAGGGCUCCCUUACUUUGUUAAAAUGCGGACCUUUUUUUUUUUUUUUUUUAAAAAAACAACUAAAAAAAAUAUUUAAUAUUUUAUGGAACUGAUAUUUUUCCAUAAUAUAAUAUUUUGGGUGUGAUUUGAAUAUCUAUACCAAAAAAUGGUAGUACAGUCUGCAUAGACUGUACAGACCUGUUUUGUUAUACGUAUCUAAAUCACAUCCAAAACACUGUAUUAUAAAAAAAAUUCAGUUCCAUAAAAUAUUAAACUUUUUUUUAGUUGUUUUAAAAAAAAACCAAAAAAAAAAUCGCAUUUUAACAAAAUAAGGGAGCCCUUACAGGAACCGGACCCUAUAUAUAUAGUCUGGAUCUUAAGCUCACCCCUUAUCUAGCUCACCUUGCUCACCCCCAUUUAGCGACGGACCGGACGAUUAUUCGGUCUGUCGCUAUAUAUAGAACCGUCGUCUUAGUUUUUAGCGACGAAUAACAUAUAGCGACAGACAACACAUAACGACGGACNNNNNNNNNNNNNNNNNNNNNNNNNNNNNNNNNNNNNNNNNNNNNNNNNNNNNNNNNNNNNNNNNNNNNNNNNNNNNNNNNNNNNNNNNNNNNNNNNNNNAUAAAACGCCGCAGGAAGACAAGGGAUUAGUAAAUUAAACAAAUUAUAUAUAUAUAUAUAUAUAGUCCGUUUUUUCAACGAACUGAAAGAAGCGAAUUAAGAACGAACCGGCUAUAACGACGAUUUUUUUCGUCACUGUAGCAUAGAAAGCCGAUUUUUUAUCAAGGAAGAUGAAAAAUUAGCUACUACUCAUACUCACAAUGUUUUUGAAUCGUCCUCCGGAUAUCUUGCUGUUGUUCCUGGAGGGACUGAGAGAAUCAAAAGCAAACAGAAGACGAAUAUUAUUAUAGCAGACUUAUCACCCCUAGUAGCCAUCUUUACUUGUAUGCUUUCUAUUUGGGUUUUACUUUUUAGCAUAGAAUGAUUACUU
rnacentral:lncRNA from 1 species